AAUGGCACCUUUCUGAGUAGU
rnacentral:miRNA from 1 species